GCACUGAAAGUGAGAGUUGGAGGAAUACAAACUGAUUGAUUCAUGGCCAAAACACAUGGCCACUGAAUCAGCAUGUUUUCCUCCAAUAUCUCACCUUCAGUUG
rnacentral:pre_miRNA from 1 species